rnacentral:rRNA from 1 species
CCUACGGUGGGCAGCAGUGGGGGAUAUUGCACAAUGGGGGAAACCCUGAUGCAGCAACGCCGCGUGUGGGAAGAAGGUUUUCGGAUUGUAAACCACUGUUCUUGGUGAAGAUAAUGACGGUAACCAAGGAGAAAGCUCCGGCUAACUACGUGCCAGCAGCCGCGGUAAUACGUAGGGAGCAAGCGUUGUCCGGAUUUAUUGGGUUUAAAGGGUGCGUAGGCGGACGCUUAAGUCAGCGGUAAAAUUGCGGGGCUCAACCUCGUCGAGCCGUUGAAACUGGGUGCCUUGAGUGGGCGAGAAGUACGCGGAAUGCGUGGUGUAGCGGUGAAAUGCAUAGAUAUCACGCAGAACUCCGAUUGCGAAGGCAGCGUACCGGCGCCCAACUGACGCUGAAGCACGAAGGCGUGGGUAUCGAACAGGAUUAGAUACCCGAGUAGUC